rnacentral:lncRNA from 1 species
UCGAGCGGACCCAACCUUGAGAUUUAGAUUCCAAGAGCGUUGAGCCCAAACCCAAAUAAUAGAUUGAUAUUUCAUUUCUCGUUGAUUUGCAUUAUUAUUAUUUUUCCUUUUUCAGCCAUUAGUUCCAGGAAAACAUAUUUAUCCCAAAAAAUAUAUAUAUAUAUAUAUAUCUAUAUAAAAGCGAAAAAUAAACAGGAGUGGAAAUUUCAUUUUUAUGUUUUGGGCUUUGCCCUGAACUUCGAACAAUCGCAGGCAGUCGAAAUCGACGCUACUCGUCAGGUAGGGACCACAGAGUCUACGCUGGACUCUCACAGUGGCCUCAGUAAGCUUGUCCAGGUAACCCCAUAGAGACUAACUUGUACCUGGUAUUGGUAGACAUGUUUUGUAUUUGCAGGCAUGCUUUAUUGUUUUCCUGCUUCUAAUUCGUUUAACUUGUUUGUGGGUAUUGAUGCUUAUUUUCUUGGUUGGUUCCAAAUAUUAUCACUUCCAAGAUCAGUGUUUUAUUGCAAUUUCGAUCGCUUUCUGUAGCUAUGAAUUGGACAGUAAAUAAAUUGGUACCCAAAGGAAAAAAAAGAGUAGUUGCAUGCUCAAUAUAUGUAGUGAUUCAUGGCUUCAUAGUUCAUGCUUGGAUUUCUAAGGUUGAAUUAAACAUUUGAGCUAUAACCCCUUUUCGUGUAGUUGGUUGGCAGUGUUAUACGAUUUGCAAAUUCAGUUUUUUGUUGUUGUUGGGGUAGUAGAGGGUAUGUUUUCGGUUUCCUUUUCAGAAGAACAAGAUCCAUGCGUCUGAAAUUUGUAGAUGGUAGCUGUGGUGGAACUUGGGAUCUACUUUCAACUUUCAAGUUGAGAUUUAGAAUGGUUAAUAGUUAAUUGUCUUAGCCACUAGUCAGUAGACAGUGAACAUGAAUGCCACAUUAUAUUAGAAUAGGAAGCAAUGUUUCCAGUUGACCAGGGAACACAAGGGCACCCACACCAUACAAAAAUAAUUCAUGCAUGAUGGUGUGCAAGGUCUCUUACACUAUGACAUUGACAGACACGACAAUACUAUGUUGCUAUAAAUGUGCCAAAAUUGGAAUCCAAAGCACAUGUAUUCAGAAAAGGAAAGACGAGAUUUUUCAUGUGGAUGAUGAUAUGCAUGAUAAUUGCGCCUACAAAUUUGAUCAUUAAUCGGCAAAGGUAGCUGGUAAAUGGAGCCCAUGGACACAGACAGUAGUCUCUAGUCAUUUUCCUUUACUGGAUCAUGUGAAUUGGAUUCUAAGUUGUGCAUUGAUAUAGGCUUAGAUGCCCUUUACCUGCUGGCUUUGAGUUUGAGGAGGUUUCAGAUGUGCUCAAGAUACCAUCACCUAUCUGGUUGCAUAAGAAACGGAAACACAAGUGGGACCGUGUAAAUUUUGAGGGAGACAGAGAGGUAGGUAAAGUUUUGAUAUUCCAGAAAUGAUCAGCUAGAAUAAACAAUGAGGACACCGUAUAUGUGAUUCUGCAUGUGUUGAGGCCCAUUUUUAGUUAUUUGAAGAACUGGUAAUGUCGUGGGUUGUCAUAACACUAGAAUACACUCUUCUUGUUCUUUGAUGAAGUGGAAUGGAGUUUAUGUGGUAAGGGGUGGGAGCAAAUCUAGUAUGGUGCAUUCAUACCGCAUCUGCUGUGGAGCUAUUAUAAAUGAAUUAAGUUGGCAGAAUCCGCUAGAAUUUAUUUAUGGUAGGUAUCUGUAUUUGUAGUACUUUAUUAUUAUUAUUAUUAUUAUUUCAGAAGGAGGUGGGGGAGGUGUUUCAGAUUUAUUGCCCAUGUAUCAAGUUAAACCCUUGUUGAGGGAGGACCUAAACAUUGCUAUUGUUAGAUAUAUUUUUUAAAAAUUUCUGCACUUAUAAGGAAUCAAUGUAAUAUGAUUUUCUUCUGCAAAAUUAGGGGGUACUUCCAAGUAAUAGUUCGAAAAAUUUUAUAUGUUAAUUGUUGGACUAAUACAAUUCCUCUUUUAUUUGGCUUAUAAUUUGAAUUACUCUCUUUUCUUGUUUGGUAAGUACAUCACAUGUAGAGGAAUGCUUCUUUGAUAUUACUUCAGUUCGUUUUUCACGAUCUGUUUUCCAUCUUGUCUUAUUGGUGCUUGAGAGGUUAUUUGGAAGAGAGAGAUGGGGGUGAAGGUGAGGGAUUGUGGCAAGCUGUUCAACUUUUUGUAGAACUUAUUAGAAGCUCUAAAGAAAAUAUGGAGGAGCAAAAGGCAUAUAAUAAAGAGAACUUCUGCACGUUAACGUGGCCGACGAUGGUCUUGUUUCAAUGAAGCUCUGGAGGUUGGUUUUCAGGAUGGACAGAGAAAUCAUGUAUUCCCAUUUCCAUCAACAAGAGAAGUAAAGGAAAUUGAUGGGUUUCUUUAUGAGGGAUUUAAUAAUAUAGGAAUUUUUCUGUCCACUUAAAUAGGUUUUGCAACAAGAGCAUGCCUCUUUCAUAUUUUUCUGAAUAGAGUUGCUAUAAGGCUCACCAGAAAGGUCUUUGCAUCUUGGAGGAUAAGGUUCUGUUGUCAGAAGGAAUGUCACUGGCCCCAUCAAUUUCAGUAGUUGUGCUAUUAAAGGCUUUAACAAGGGUGACCUGUAUUAGUAAAUGACUUACCUAGUAGUUUCUUUUAUGAAAUUCAUUCAGGCUGGUAAGAUUUAGGUACAGAUCUGCUUAGAUAUUAAAUUGAGUCAUAUUUGUACUUACUGGACCUUCCUAAUCAGGUUUAAUCUGCAAAUGUUGAAAUCUGCGGAUGAUUAAAUACUAAACUGCCUUGCAUCUAUGUUUCAUCCCAAGUGGAUUGCAGGAUUCUUCCAUGGAGGUUUUUUUUAUUUUUUAUUUUUAAAAGCUUCUGUAAAUUGUCAUUACCCCAUUUGAUUCAUCUUCUCAUAUGUCUAACCUAAUAGUAAUUGACACCUACUACUAGCUUAACCCUCUGCAAUGUGUACCUUGCAGGCUUGCACAUGUGUUAGAAUUUUGUAGCAGUUUCUGUUCCUGCCACAGGAAACCAUGCUUUUAAAUAAUGUAUAAAUCCCAAAAUUAUUAUGAAUUCUUACAACCAGAUCUCAAGCUACAUAAAAGAAAGAAUUGAAGAAAGUUUCACU